rnacentral:lncRNA from 1 species
CCUCCCUUCAUCAUCCAGGCCUUCCGCUUCAGGGUGUCAGAGUCCACCGUGUCCCACGUCUGGAGCACCUGGAUGGAGCUGCUGCAGAGACGGAUGAGACAGGGAGAGGGUUGAAAAGGGAGUAUGCGAUCCCCAGCCAGCGUUACAUCACUCUUUCCAGCCCCACCUAGCCAACGGCUCUAGGUUCUCGAGUGUGCCGACACCCUCUCCGACGUCCACUCCAGCCUCCGCAAGCGAGGGGACACACCCAACCCCUCCUACCAGGCCCUACCACUACCUCUGCAGCGAACGUGUCUGCUGUCUGAUGGACAAGGGGAUGGCGUUCCAUUACCUGAGGGUGGUGCACCCUGCCCGGAUCGGUGUGCUGCUUCCUGGCCUGCCUCCUGCACCGUCCUCAGGGAAUCAAAUAGGUCCAAGACCAAGGGCCUCUGUGACAACUAUCUCUGCGAGCAGGCCCAGACUAACUACCUCCACGAGGAGGCCCAAGCUAACCACCUACAUGUGAGGAGGCCCA